rnacentral:lncRNA from 1 species
AUGAUUGUCAUUCUCAUGACCCACCUUCGGUGCAAGAAGCAUUGCAGGAGAGGGAUCGCUUACUUCAACAACUUAGAGGCAAUCUGCUCAAAUCUCAGAAUUAUAUGAAAUUGCAAGCUGAUAAGAAACGCAGAGAUUUCAACUUCGCAGUUGGUGAUUUGGUUUUGGUUAAACUCCAACCUUAUUUUGAACACCCAAUUUUGUCCGGCCC